rnacentral:rRNA from 1 species
CCAGACUCCUACGGGAGGCAGCAGUGGGGAAUAUUGCACAAUGGGGGAAACCCUGAUGCAGCAACGCCGCGUGAGUGAGGAAGUAUUUCGGUAUGUAAAGCUCUAUCAGCAGGGAAUAGAAAAGAAGGUACCUGAAAAAGAAGCCCCGGCUAACUACGUGCCAGCAGCCGCGGUAAUACGUAGGGGGCAAGCGUUAUCCGGAUUUACUGGGUGUAAAGGGAGCGUAGACGGAAAGGCAAGUCAGAAGUGAAAACCCAGGGCUCAACCAUGGGACUGCUUUUGAAACUGUCAGACUAGAGUGCGGGAGAGGUAAGAGGAAUUCCUAGUGUAGCGGCGAAAUGCGUAGAUAUUAGGAGGAACACCAGUGGCGAAGGCGUCUUACUGGACCGAAACUGACGUUGAGGCUCGAAAGCGUGGGGAGCAAACAGGAUUAGAUACCCGCGUAUA